rnacentral:rRNA from 1 species
ACGCUGGCGGUAGGCUUAACACAUGCAAGUCGUGCGAGAAAGUAUCUUCGGAUAUGAGUAGAGCGGCGGACGGGUGAGUAACGCGUAGGAAUCUACCUAGUAGAAGGGGAUAGCCCGGGGAAACUCGGAUUAAUACCGUAUACCUCCUUAGGGAGAAAGAGGGCCUCUCUUGAAGCUUUCGCUAUUAGAUGAGCCUGCGUAAGAUUAGCUUGUUGGUAAGGUAAUGGCUUACCAAGGCUACGAUCUUUAGCUGGUCUGAGAGGACGAUCAGCCACAUUGGGACUGAGACACGGCCCAGACUCCUACGGGAGGCAGCAGUGGGGAAUAUUGGACAAUGGGCGCAAGCCUGAUCCAGCCAUACCGCGUGUGUGAAGAAGGCUCUAGGGUUGUAAAGCACUUUAAGCAGGGAGAAAAAGUUAUAAAUUAAUACCUUAUAACCGUGAUGUUACCUGCAGAAUAAGCACCGGCUAAUUCCGUGCCAGCAGCCGCGGUAAUACGGAAGGUGCAAGCGUUAAUCGGAAUUACUGGGCGUAAAGCGCGCGUAGGUGGUUUGUUAAGUUGGAUGUGAAAGCCCUGGGCUCAACCUAGGAACUGCAUCCAAAACUAACUCACUAGAGUACGAUAGAGGGAGGUAGAAUUCAUAGUGUAGCGGUGGAAUGCGUAGAUAUUAUGAAGAAUACCAGUGGCGAAGGCGGCCUCCUGGAUCUGUACUGACACUAAGGUGCGAAAGCGUGGGUAGCGAACAGGAUUAGAUACCCUGGUAGUCCACGCCGUAAACGAUGACAACUAGCUGUUGGAAGACAAUGUCUUUCAGUGGCGCAGCUAACGUUUUAAGUUGUCCGCCU